rnacentral:rRNA from 1 species
CAGUCGCCACGGGAAUACAGAGGGUGCGAGCGUUAAUCGGAUUUACUGGGCGUAAAGCGUGCGUAGGCGGCUUUUUAAGUCGGAUGUGAAAUCCCUGAGCUUAACUUAGGAAUUGCAUUCGAUACUGGGAAGCUAGAGUAUGGGAGAGGAUGGUAGAAUUCCAGGUGUAGCGGUGAAAUGCGUAGAGAUCUGGAGGAAUACCGAUGGCGAAGGCAGCCAUCUGGCCUAAUACUGACGCUGAGGUACGAAAGCAUGGGGAGCAAACAGGAUUAGAUACCCGCGUAGUCCCUGUCUCUUAUAC